UUUACCUGGACAGGAGAGGGCGGAAGCGCCCCGGGGAAGGCUGGGAAAUGUAGUUCCUGACUCUCCGCGGUGCGUUUCCCGUCUCUGGGCAUGCGCUGAUGGGGGGGGAGGGGCGGAGUGUGAUCAGCUGCUCCAUUGUGAUUUGGGAGCCCCGGCGGAGCAGCGAGGUCUGUGCCGGGGAGAUCCGUUAACCCCACCGUGCCCAGUCCGGGCCCUGCUCCCGCUGGAGCCGCUCUGGGGCCGCCCCGGGCUCCGUCCGCCCCGCUGCGGAGCUGCAGCCUCCAGGCUACAGAAAAACAUCCACAUUUCGCUCCAGAUCAACCUGUCCUCCCAUGGCGAAGGAAAUGUUUGCAAUGGAGCUGGCUCAGAAAGAACUGGGCUCGCAGAUGCAGGAAGCUCUAUUGGAGUGAAGACAAAUGGACAGGUACAGUGAAAGGAAACCAAACUACUUUCUACAGCAGCAUGGCUCAAGGGCAUUGGCCAGGUUUCCAGUUUCCAAACCUGAUGUGAUCUUGCAGCUGGAAUAAGGGAACAGUCUGUGGGUCUCAGACCUCUAUGGCUC